rnacentral:lncRNA from 1 species
GUGACUACAGUGUUAAACUUGAUACAGGAACUCUGUAUUUUUUGGUUUACCCAUUUUUAAAUUAAGAAAUGUUGAUUAAUAAAAAUUGUCAGCAAUGAAUAUUAUCAGGAGUCCUCAGGAUACCAGUAGUGUUCCAUUUCCAUACAUACAAGUUUUGAUGAAAAAGAAAAUGUUUAUCUGAAACCAGACCCUUAUUUCUCUUCAAGUAUGUUUUCUCAGAAAAAAACUUCAUAUCUAAGUUUGCAGUAAAUUCUUUAGACUAUUCUAGUCCAAAUGAGAACCAGUAGUUUCUAAUAAUUUUCCCAUUUCAGGUAAAAAGUAAAAAGCAGUAUAAUUUUAUAAGUGUAUACAUCAAUGCUAUGUGCAAACUUUGAACUUGUGUUUACCCAGAACUGUGCCAGGCCUUGGGAAUCAAUAAAAGAUCAACAAUCUCUAUCCUCCCCUCUAGAAGGCAGUUCAGGAGGAUAUCACACCUGUAAAAACUGAACACUUUUUCAUGUGGAGUAGGGUUGUCUAUUAAUAUGUACUAAUACUAAUAUACUUUUUGAAAAUGAAAUAUUUUUCCCUAAUCUGCCAGUGAAGUGGGAGUUUUUGACAGGGCUGUUUCAGUGCUCAAAAUUUCUUAUUGAUGUGAAUCACAACAGAUGAAUUAAAAAAUAAAACCACAAUUUUUUAUUAUACAGCAUGCCCCACAAUCAGAAAUAAUCUGAGAGCAUGAAGGAGAAAGUUCAGAUGUGGUAAUAUUCACAAUUGCUAUUUUUAGGCUGCAUCAAAAUAUAACACUCAUCUCUUGAAAGAUUCUAAGAUUUUGGUGUAUGAGUAGUUCCCAAUAUUUAACAAGUACUUCUGAAGCAAAAUUAACUCCAAGAAGCAUGUGAUAAGUACCCAAGAAAUGUUAGUUUCAAUAAAUAAAGAACACAAUAAAUGUUAGUGCUUACUAGAAAUAGUAAUAUUAGUAUUAUUAAUAUUGUUAUUUACUGUUACAUAUAUCCAGUAUGAACUCCUUAGUGCCCUGCUUUCAUUCAUACAGAGCUAAAUUUGCCUUCUUCCUGACCUGUCAAGUAUGAAUCAUCCUUCCUCCUUUAUACAGACAUUUUUUAAAAGGGGUCGCCUCAAGACCCCUUUAAAAAAAAUUAACUCCCUCUGUUUUUCCCUCUCCUGUUCAUAAAUUCUCCCUCUAUUUGUCUUUUCUGUUUUAAAAGGUAUCUAUACUCAGUUUACCAUUUCCUUCCAAAACCUUCUUCAACUACUAAAAUUUAGCACCUACCUCCAUUUUACUUUAUGCAUUCCUUGUAUCAAUGUCACUAUAACAUAAUAGCUAAAUCAAAGGUUGCUUCUCACUUUUCAUAGUAUCUGAUCUUUCUGCAACCUUCAACAUGCUAACCAAUGCCUCCUGGAAACUGCUCUUUUGUUCCAUCACCUUAAGUUCUCUGACUUUUUUUUUCCAAGUGUUUUGGGCCACUCUUCCUCAAUUCUCUUAUGCAGAAUCCUCUUCCUCUCCAUCCUUGGUUCUCUUUGCCCUCCAUAUUACAAUUUACAUGUACUCUUUCUCUUUCACUUUGGUCAGAGUUCAAGUCUGAAUAUUGAACAUAGACCUCACUUGGAAACUUAAGACACUAAGUUUUCAACCCUUUGUAGGGAAUUUGAACUAGAUUUCUAUAACACCUCAAACACUGUCCCAUUUUCCAUCAUUAACUGAGAUGGGGAUAUCUGUGCAGAGGAGCAGAUUUUAGAAUAACAAGAAGGAAUUCAGUUUUGACAAUGAUAAAUUUGAAAAGCUUAUUGGACAGCUGUAGUAGAGACUACUUGCUUGUUGAUCCCUAAUGUGCAUAUCAGUUUACACAUACUGACCCCUUAGUGUGUCAUGUCACUAAAUUCUGGCCAAUAGACUGUGAAUAAAAAUGAUAUUUGUACCUUCUGGAUCACACUAUUGAAAGAAAUGAUGCUAGGCUGCAGUGGUGCAUGCAUGUAAUCCCAGCUACACAGGAAAUUGAGGGAAGAGAAUCACUUGAGCCCAGGAUUCCAAGACUUGCCUGCGCAACAUAAUGAGACCCUCUGUUUAAAAAAAAAAAAAAAAAGAAGAAGAAGAAAAGGAAUUCCACUUGCUGUUUCCCUUCAUCCCUUUCUGAGGAUUGAAAUGUGGUGAGCUGUUUUGUUGGAAGGUUUGAAUGAUGGUAUUCUCACCAAAAUUUAUGUUGAAACUUACCACCCAUUAUGGUGGUACUAAGAGGUAAAACCUUUUGGAGAAGUGAUUAAGUCAUGAGAGCUCUGCCCUUACACAUGUGGAUUAUUGCGCCUAUAAAAGUCCUGGAAAGAACUACUUUAGACCCUCCUUUGCCCUUCCUCACUUCCAUCAUGUGAAUAGCAUUCAUCUCUUGCAGAGAAUGCAACAAGGUGUCAUCUUGGAAGCAGAGAGAAGCCUUCAUUGGACACUGGACCUGCUAGUAUCUUGAUCUUAGACUUUCCAGCCUUUAGAAC